CCUCCCUCCCCAUCUGCUUGUUACUGCCGCCUCUUCUCAGAUUCGGUCGGAGAACGAGAUCCUACCCAGAGGGGGAGUGCCAGUCCUUAGUUCCUCCGAUUACCUGUCGCCGCCGGCCUCAGUGGCGUCCAUUGUUUCCGGGAUCCUCUACGCGGGCGAAGACGCAUGGCUAGUACUGUAACACUUUGUACCUAGCGAUCUACUGUAUAGACCAGCAAGCCAUUGUCCAGUCCCCUUGUCAGGAUUCCCGCUGAGCUUGCAAGGUUUGAGCCUGGAGCUCAUUUUGCUCCCGGAAAGCCUAGGUAGGAAGCACUGCUGCCGAAAUAAAAUCAAGGACCAUUAGGUUUGUUACAAAUGCAGCAAUUGGGCUGUUCUGUUUGUCUACAAAGUAGGUUCCUCGAGUGAAGGAGUGUUGGCAGACCCCAACAGUUUUUACUUGGGAUCUAUUGACGAUGGGAUGUAAUUUGGUCUGCCAUCCGCAGAUUGAUUCCGUGCAGUUGAAACCUUGUCAGCCACAUGUUUAUCGAGCAUCAAAACUAGCUAUCAUGAUGAGUACAAGCUCUCAUCAUUAUGUUACUUCAAGAUCAGCAAGCUAUCU
rnacentral:lncRNA from 1 species